rnacentral:lncRNA from 1 species
AUCCUGAUGCUCAUGGCCAUGCAUUGAGAACAACUGUGUAAGAAGAUAUGGAUAAUGCUUGAAAACUACUAGUAUUAGCACCAUUUUGCAUAUACUCCAAGGAAGAUCUCAAUAAAUGCUUAAUGGAAAUAAGUAAAGGUAUGAAUGCUGGACCUAAUACAGGAGGAAGACCCAGGUGAUUUGUGUACAAUUUGGACACAAGCUCUUGCCAACCACCUGAGAGAUUCCAACAAUGAGAUGAGAUUCCUUACCUUGAACCAGAUAAUUUGGAAUGAAUGUCUAGGCAGAACUUCUGCUUCAGAAUGACCACAAUUAACUACCAGACAA